GAUGAACGCUGGCGGCGUGCUUAACACAUGCAAGUCGAACGGUGAAGGCGGAGCUUGCUCUGCUGGAUCAGUGGCGAACGGGUGAGUAACACGUGAGCAAUCUGCCCCUGACUCUGGGAUAAGCGCUGGAAACGGCGUCUAAUACCGGAUACGAGCUGCGAAGGCAUCUUCAGCAGCUGGAAAGAAUUUCGGUCAGGGAUGAGCUCGCGGCCUAUCAGCUUGUUGGUGGGGUAAUGGCUCACCAAGGCGUCGACGGGUAGCCGGCCUGAGAGGGUGACCGGACACACUGGGACUGAGACACGGCCCAGACUCAUACGGGAGGCAGAAGUGGGGAAUAUUGCACAAUGGGCGAAAGCCUGAUGCAGCAACGCCGCGUGAGGGACGACGGCCUUCGGGUUGUAAACCUCUUUUAGCAGGGAAGAAGCGAAAGUGACGGUACCUGCAGAAAAAGCGCCGGCUAACUACGUG
rnacentral:rRNA from 1 species